rnacentral:lncRNA from 1 species
UAGAGAGACAAACUAAUAAAUUUAUUUAUAUAAAUCUUACCUUCAACAUGACACCACCAUUUCAUUCAGAAACAAAGAAAAGUGUGUGUAAUGGGGAUGGGCAGGGGGUUAGUUUUCUUGCAAAAAAACAAAUAAUUAGUGCUCCAAUGAGGUUUCCAAACGCUGUGAAGAUGACAAAAACUCUCAGUAUCUACAUCCAAAUACUAAAAUCCAUCUAAUCACUAGAAAGUUAGAAACACUGAAAAUAAAAGUACACCACCAAUUAUUGUCAUAAACCAACUCCCCANNNN